UGGGGAAUAUUGGACAAUGGGCGAAAGCCUGAUCCAGCCAUGCCGCGUGAGUGACGAAGGCCUUAGGGUUGUAAAACUCUUUCGUCGGGGACGAUAAUGACGGUACCCGAAGAAGAAGCUCCGGCUAACUUCGUGCCAGCAGCCGCGGUAAUACGAAGGGAGCUAGCGUUGUUCGGAAUCACUGGGCGUAAAGCGCACGUAGGCGGAUAGUUAAGUCAGGGGUGAAAUCCUGGGGCUCAACCCCAGAACUGCCUUGAUACUGGCUGUCUCGAGGUCGAGAGAGGUUGGUGGAAUUCCUAGUGUAGAGGUGAAAUUCGUAGAUAUUAGGAAGAACACCAGUGGCGAAGGCGGCCAACUGGCUCGAUACUGACGCUGAGGUGCGAAAGCGUGGGGAGCAAACAGGAUUAGAUACCCGCGUAGUCCCUGAGCGGGCUGGCAAGGCGCAU
rnacentral:rRNA from 1 species